rnacentral:lncRNA from 1 species
GAAGAACGCAAUCCAGUGCCUGAGGAACUCGCCACUGCCGAGAUUGCCGCUCGAUUCGGUGCCGGCCUCAUAUGGGUGCUGAUUUUUGUUGCCAAUAUUCAGUUUGCCAGGAUUUUCACGAGUUGCCGUUGGCAGGCCAGCUACUGGGCAACGAGCUGCAGCAAGCGACCAACCUUGCUUGCGCAGGAGAGCGGAUUCAGCUCGCC